AGUCGAACGGAAAGGCCCUGCUUUUGUGGGGUGCUCGAGUGGCGAACGGGUGAGUAACACGUGAGUAACCUGCCCUUGACUUUGGGAUAACUUCAGGAAACUGGGGCUAAUACCGGAUAGGAGCUCCUGCUGCAUGGUGGGGGUUGGAAAGUUUCGGCGGUUGGGGAUGGACUCGCGGCUUAUCAGCUUGUUGGUGGGGUAGUGGCUUACCAAGGCUUUGACGGGUAGCCGGCCUGAGAGGGUGACCGGCCACAUUGGGACUGAGAUACGGCCCAGACUCCUACGGGAGGCAGCAGUGGGGAAUAUUGCACAAUGGGCGGAAGCCUGAUGCAUCAACGCCGCGUGCGGGAUGACGGCCUUCGGGUUGUAAACCGCUUUCGCCUGUGACGAAGCGUGAGUGACGGNUAAUGGGUAAAAGAAGCACCGGGCUAACUANCGUGCCAGNCAGCCGCAGUGAUACGUAGGGUGCAAGCGUUGUCCGGAUUUAUUGGGCGUAAAAGGGCUCCGUANGGUGGUUGAAUCGCGUCCGGAAGUGUAAUCUUUGGGGCUUAACCCUGAGCGUGCUUUCNGAUANCGGGUUGACUUGAGGAAAGGUAGGGGAAGAAUGGAAUUCCUGGUGGAGCGGUGGAAUGCGCAGAUAUCAGGAGGAACACCAGUGGCGAAGGCGGUUCUCUGGGCCUUUCCUGACGCUGAGGAGCGAAAGCGUGGGGAGCGAACAGGCUUAGAUACCCUGGUAGUCCACGCUGUAAACGGUGGGUACUAGGUGUGGGGUCCAUUCCACGGGUUCCGUGCCGUUAGCUAACGCUUUAAGUACCCCGCCUGGGGAGUACGGCCGCAAGGCUAAAACUCAAAGGAAUUGACGGGGCCCCGCACAAGCGGCGGAGCAUGCGGAUUUAAUUCGAUUGCAACGCCGUAGAAACCUUACCUGGGUUUGACAUGAAUCGGGAAUGCUCAGAGAUGGGUGGCCCUCUUUUGGGGUCGGUUCACAGGUGGUGCAUGGCUGUCGUCAGCUCGUGUCGUGAGAUGUUGGGUUAAGUCCCGCAACGAGCGCAACCCUUGUUCACUGUUGCCAGCACGUUAUGGUGGGGACUCAGUGGAGACCGCCGGGGUCAACUCGGAGGAAGGUGGGGAUGACGUCAAGUCAUCAUGCCCCUUAUGUCCAGGGCUUCACGCAUGCUACAAUGGCUGGUACAGAGAGUGGCGAGCCUGUGAGGGUGAGCGAAUCUCGGAAAGCCGGUCUCAGUUCGGAUUGGGGUCUGCAACUCGACCUCAUGAAGUCGGAGUCGCUAGUAAUCGCAGAUCAGCAACGCUGCGGUGAAUACGUUCCCGGGGCUUGUACACACCNCCCAAAAAGUCAUGAAAGUUGGUAACACCCGAAGCCGGUGGCCUAACCGUUGUGGGGGAGCCUC
rnacentral:rRNA from 1 species